GGCAUUUUUUAGCUGGUCUGGAUUCACAUACAAAUUCCUGUGAUAUGGUAACAACCUGCUUUGCACAGCUUGGCUCAUUCAUUUGAAGACUGCAGUCAGAGUCAAGGUAACUAUUUUUUUUUUCUGGCAUCCAUUUUCAGUUGAGAUGUUUCAGCUGUCAUACACCUUCAGGUGGGAGACAGAAAUGAGUCAGCAACACUGAUGGAGAUCUCCAAAGCAACUAUAUGAUAUGUCUACAUUGCUGGAAAUGAGAUCACUCCCCUUAUUGGCUCUUGGUCUUUGCCCAAGUUGAAUACACACAGUCCUUCAAUCAGGGGCCAGGAGUGUUAAUAGAAACAUUGCCAGUGCUGACUGUACAAGGACACAGACAAGGCAGACUGCUGCUGACAUCUUCAGGAGACAGGGCCUGUGGGAAUUAGCAAAUGAAGGGAUUAUUUCAUUCGUAGCACAGGAGGACUGGAGCUGAAAAUUUCCACUUACAAUGUAAGCAUUUCAUUUCAAGCAUUUAUGUACAUAUAUUGGAGAAAAGCUAAAAUUGAAGCAUUUAGCAUUGCUUUUAGGGAAACUGACAUGGCACAUCAGAAAAUGUCAGAAACAAGCAUCUCUUUGCAGCCCAGAUUAACAAUCAGGCAGCUCCAGGCAGAACCCAGGGCUUUCAAGUUGACAGCCAGGAUGUUGCCCCAGCAACCUGAUUCAUGAGCACUCCUACCUGCCUUAUGUUCCUAUUUUUUUUUCUUUUUGAAUACUGGAGUUUUGUCAGGUGCAAAUUAGGCUUUUAUUUUUUUUUUAAUGUCGUGCUUUCAAUUUCGAUACUUCUUUGGCUCUACCCAUUUAGUUGGGAGGGAGAAAUGAAUGAGCAGUUCUGAUGGAGAUCUCCAAAAGAACAACAGAAUUUGCCCCCAGUGCUGGCAUUGAGAUCACUAUUCUUACUGGCUCAAUCCCCAUUUAAAUGUACACAGCCCUGCAAUCAGAUGUAAGGAGCGCUAACAAAUGUGUCAGCAGUGAGGCUUCUUAGCAGUCAGGCUCGGUCUAUACUCCAGGAAUCAGUAGAUACUGGGUGUAUCUAGAGCCCACCCAUACAAUGACCCAUGCAGAAUGCUCCUGAAAUCCACAGGAGUCAGAGCCUGAGGGAAUAAGCAAAGGCAGGGAUAUUUUGUUUCCCAGCACAGGAGGGAUUUCAGUGAAAAUUUCCACUUACAAUGCAAGCACACACUCAUGAACAUAUAAAGGAAAAAAAAACUAAAAUUUAAGCAUUUUACAUUAUAUUUGGGCAUUCUCACACAGCAUAUCAAAAAAUGUCUGCAACAUGAAGCUACUGGCAAGCUAGAAACACAGUCAGGUACCUCCAGGGAGAAACAGAGCUUCCAAAUAGAUAACAUUGAUGCUUGCUGAAGCAGCAGUUAUAUGAUCAACCGUGCAUGUCACAGGUUGUUUGCUUUCCUUUUGAAAAUUGGCCUAAAAAUCUGGGUAAUUUGCAUGUUUCUUCUUUCAUGUACUUUCGAUUUCAAUGCUUAUCCUUCAGCACAAUUCAAGGUAGGAGCGGAAAUGAGUCAGCAACUCUGAUUCAGAUCUCCAAGGGAACCACAGGAGUUGCCUCCAGUGCUGGAAAUGAGAUCAAUCUUCUCAUUGGUUCCUAUUUCAUGAUGCAUUUGAAUGCAC
ensembl:lncRNA